CCUACGGGUGGCAGCAGUGAGGAAUAUUGGUCAAUGGGCGGAAGCCUGAACCAGCCAAGUCGCGUGAGGGAUGAAGGUUCUAUGGAACGUAAACCUCUUUUAUAAGGGAAUAAAGUGCGGGACGUGUCCCGUUUUGUAUGUACCUUAUGAAUAAGGAUCGGCUACUCCGUGCCAGCAGCCGCGGUAAUACGGAGGAUGCGAGCGUUAUCCGGAUUUAUUGGGUUUAAAGGGUGCGUAGGCGGACUGUUAAGUCAGCGGUAAAAGCCCGGGGCUCAACCCCGGCGAGCCGUUGAAACUGGCUGUCUUGAGAUGUCGAGAGGUAUGCGGAAUGCGCAGUGUAGCGGUGAAAUGCUUAGAUAUUGCGCAGAACUCCGAUUGCGAAGGCAGCAUACCGGCGGCGAUCUGACGCUGAGGCACGAAAGCGUGGGUAUCGAACAGGAUUAGAUACCCUUGUAGUC
rnacentral:rRNA from 1 species